GCCUGCCUGCUCCGGCACACUGCAGCCCCGUGUCAGCCCUCAUGCGGCCCGGGCGUCCUGGAGGCAGCGUCAGACAGCCACAGGCCCGAAUUCUCUCCCUGGGAGCUGCUGCCAAGCACGCCUGGGGCUGGUGCAAGGCCGUGCACGAACCAACCCGCCCAGUAGGAGCCGAGCGCGAGUGCGGGGCCAGCAGGUUACUGCGGCGGGCUCUCCCAUGGCUGACGGCAGUUCGACUCUCACAACUCCCAGGGUUUGGACAUGGCGCCAGGUGCCUGCACACCUGUGUGCCCAGCAUGCGGAGCGGAGAAUAGAGAAGGGACUGUGGUAUGGCCACCCCCCAGGAAGGGGUCAAGGAGGAGACUGGCCACAGGAGAGAAAGGAGCGGGGAGCGCAUGGCAGGGGCCCACCGUGCCCUCACGAAGCACCGCAGGUACUGGGGGUGAGGACCCCAACAUCCGCCGUGGGACGCAAUUCAGUACACAACAAAGGCGAGCCAGCAGCUUCGCGUGACAGCCUGGAGUGAGGAGGACAGGGAGAAGAGCAGCUGCCCUGGGCGCCGGCGGCGCCUGCGCUGGAUCUUGUGCAAGGAAGCGGGAGCCACGGGACAGCCAGACCAACGUGAAGGGUGGGCUGCAGCAAAGCCCAAAGUCACUGAGGUCACGUACGUGGCAGGGGCAGAGGGAGGGGGCAGGUGCAAUGAACUGGGGCUGGGAACGAAGAAAGUUGGACGUCGGGUUCGAGGCGGGAAGUGUCAGAGAGGUCUCAGGCUUCUCGCCCACGUGGCCUGAUCUGGAUGUCACUAACCACGGAAGGGAAUACAGAGGGGCCGUGACCUUGGUCAUGGAGGUCCCAGUGGGAUCUGAGAUGGUCAGGACUAGACAGAGAUUCUGGUGAUUUCUGAAUGCUGGGGAGCCACUGUCGUCCAGGGAGCUCUGGCCUUUGAGAGCCUGGUGUGGGUCCCCCCUCCUGAGAAACUGGCACUAAGUGACUCCAGUCUGCUUCACCUGGUAACAUGCUCUGUGUAUCCAUGUGUGUCCCUAACGUCACACUGUAAGCCUCAAAUAUAUGCCACGAGAUGUCUUUUUUAAAAAGUCAUACUAUUG